rnacentral:rRNA from 1 species
UACGUAGGGUGCAAGCGUUAAUCGGAAUUACUGGGCGUAAAGCGUGCGCAGGCGGUUUUGUAAGACAGAUGUGAAAUGCCCGGGCUUAACCUGGGAACUGCAUUUGUGACUGCAUGGCUAGAGUUUGGCAGAGGGGGGUAGAAUUCCACGUGUAGCAGUGAAAUGCGUAGAUAUGUGGAGGAACACCGAUGGUGAAGGCAGCCCCCUGGGUCAAAACUGACGCUCAUGCACGAAAGCGUGGGGAGCAAACAGG